GUCUAUGGCCAUAUUGCCCUGAACUCACCUGUUCUCGUCUGAUCUUGGAAGCUAAGCAGGGUCAGUCCUGGUUAGUACUUGGAUGGGAGACAGUAAACUAUGAAAUCCCAGGUCCUGAAAACC
rnacentral:rRNA from 1 species